rnacentral:rRNA from 1 species
UGGGGAAUUUUGGACAAUGGGCGAAAGCCUGAUCCAGCCAUGCCGCGGGAGUGAAGAAGGCCUUCGGGUUGUAAAGCUCUUUUAGUCGGAAAGAAAGAGUUGCAAUGAAUAAUUGUGAUUUAUGACGGUACCGACAGAAAAAGCACCGGCUAACUACGUGCCAGCAGCCGCGGUAAUACGUAGGGUGCGAGCGUUAAUCGGAAUUACUGGGCGUAAAGGGUGCGCAGGCGGUCUUGCAAGUCAGAUGUGAAAGCCCCGGGCUUAACCUGGGAAUUGCGUUUGAAACUACAAGGCUAGAGUGCAGCAGAGGGGAGUGGAAUUCCAUGUGUAGCAGUGAAAUGCGUAGAGAUGUGGAAGAACACCGAUGGCGAAGGCAGCUCCCUGGGUUGACACUGACGCUCAUGCACGAAAGCGUGGGGAGCAAACA